rnacentral:rRNA from 1 species
AUGUCCGUACCUACAUCAGCUACGUCUUUGCGACAAGGUAACAGUAAAUGUAUUGAUGAUAUAGCUUCACAUGAGAAUGAUGCAUGCCUAGUUAACUUGAAUGCAUCAUGUGUUGAGUUACCUCUUCAUUUGAGCACUCCACCUAUUUUAGAGAAUCUUGUUACUGUCAUGAAUGCAUCAUGUGAUCAAACAACUGAAAUAUCAACAAUUUUGAGUACACCCAUUGAAUUAACUGUUGAUGCAAAAGAACCAAUGUUUAAUCAUUUUGAUAUGACCUCUAAUCUUGCUGAUGAUUCUAUGUCAAAUGACUUAUUGCAUGUUUGCUUAUUUAAGCAUAUUGUAGCAUGUAAAUUUGGUGCACGUAAGGUUUAUUCAUCAAUGUUGGGAUGGUUUAAUGAUGAACAUUGCCAAUCCUUUGAUAUGAAUAAGAGCUUCACUUAUAUGUGCAAACUGAGUUGCAAUAUUUUCAUGCCUUCUACUUCUUGUGAUAAUAUUUCGGCUUCAGAUUUUAUGAACUAUGAAAAUUACUUACGUAUACAUGUGUUAUUUGUGCAAAAGCCAAGGGAAGUAAAAAUGGAUGACAUAUACAUAUACAUCAUGUACACCUUGUCUCUUUUGUUAGCCACAUUUCAGUUUAAGCAACGCCGAGGACGGCUUUGUUUUCAAGAAGGGGAGGAUGAUGAGGACAUGACUACCUUGGAUACGACCAAAAAUAUUGCAUACAUGUAUAUUUGUGAGGUGAUUUCUAAUGCAAACUAUGCAAUAAUUUAUUUAUGUUCAAACUUUUGUGCCAUGUCUAAUUGCAGGUGUAUGGGACAUUUGUACAAUCCACAUAUGAAGAUAACGGAAAAAGAGAAGUUUAGGUGCUAUUUAAAAAGUCAUCUCACGUCACUUUUGGGCCAAGAGAAGAUAGAGUCCAAGUCUCCCACGUCCUGGAUUCAGAUUCGGACUGCACAGACAUACCUGACUCAAAACACCAACAACUUUUUCAUACGAACCCCUAAUUGGGUGAUUCUUUUUUUGUUUGAAAGUAGAUUUCGUGCUCUUUCCAACACAAUUGGAUUCACCUUAAAAUUCAUCCGGAGCGUUGAGUUAUGGAAAAAACAAUUUGACGUUGCAGCAAAAUAUGAGUCAAACUACAAGUCCAAAGGUGUUGCAUCACCUCCACUUGGGCGCAUUAGCCUUGUACGACCUAGGGUUAGUUUUAGGGAAAAUUUUGUUUUUGCCACUCUAGCUUUUGCCAAUUUUCCUUAUGCCAUUCUAGAUUUUAACAUUUCAUUUUUGCCACUCUUAGCUUUUGACAAUUAUCACAAUUGCCAUUUUGUGGCAAAAGCACAAUAA